UUCCCACUCUGGGUUGGGGUUGCCAGUAUGUCAGAUCACCUCUAGGGUCUCCCUUAGCACCACCACAGAACGCGGCUCUUGGAGAUGCUCACCCAGCAACGGAUGGAGAAGAUGGAGCACAGACCAAGCACAGCCAGACGUAAGAUGAAGCUGAGAGAGCUUUUCCGGAAGACUCUACCAAGGCGGCUGCCAAAUGUGGCAUCUAAGCCUGGCAUGAAAGAAGGAAAGGGAGUGUGGCAGAGGAACCAAAGAGGAAACACAGGGCCUGCAGGAUCCAAUGAAACUGCCUUCCCUGGAAUGUCAACUCCCUGACUGAAGGGCCUUUGGUCACUGGUGUAUCCCAGAACUCAGAAGAGUGCUUGGCAUACAGUAGAUGCUCAAUAAUGUGAAUGAAAAUCAUCUGAAAGACCUGCUCCUUCCUGCCUCUCUUUCCAAUUUCACUUUGAACCUGACCUCUCCAUCCUCCUGUGUUCUGCUACAUCUGUUUCUAUUCCCCAAACAUGCCAAGCUCAAGCCGGGCCUGGGGUGCUCACAUGUAACUGUUCUUUUGACUGAGAAUGCUCUUGCCUCUAAUCCUGGUAUGGCUAGCUGCUUUCAUUACUCAUAUUUCAGUUCAAAUGUCAUCACUUCAGUGAGGCCUUCCCUGAAAUAGAUAGGUCCUCCCAUCUGAUUUUAUUGUCUUCAUUGCAUGUAUUAUCUUAUUUACACGUUUAUUGGUCUGUUAUCUGUCUCUUCCCACUAUAAUAUAAGGUCCAUGAGGACAGAGACCUUGUCUGUGUUCUCAUGCCUAGAAGAGUACCAGAACAUAAAAGGUACUCAGUAUAUAUUUCUUAGAUUAAUGAAUAAGCAAAUAAACAGUAGGUAUUAUUAUUGUUUUUUCAAGAUGUAGAUUGAGAAAAACUACAAAUUUCACCCCUUUCACCUCCCCUCUUCUGUGUGAGGAAGGGGAAGUUCAUGAAUAUCCAUAUCCUUUUAGGUACUGAGCACCAGGCUCAUCACUGUCUUUUGAGGUGGGCAUUACUGUUGUCAUUUCACAACUGGUGAAGCUGAGGCUCAGAAAGGAUAUGUAACUUGCCUAAGAUCACAUGGCUGGUUGAGGAAUAUAGUCUCAAAGUCAAGUCUGUCUGACCUUAAAGUCUGUGUGCCUUCAUCAGGCUUCCUCUAAGAAGCUUUCAGGGAAAAAACCUUUGUGUUCUUCACUAUGUAAAAGAAAAAAUUGUUUGGAAAUCUCAGAUGGGUCAAGAGAACUGAUAGUUUUCUCUUCGAGAUGCUUUGCUUUGAUACCACGGCAACUGACUUUGUAGUGAUGCCAACCCCCAUCUGGGAGGUACGAUCAAGAUGGCCAGAUGACUGGCUUUUCAUUAUUUCUUUCCAUGGAUUUUUCUUCACUCCAUUUUCCUGGGGCAUCUUUGGAGAAUGGGGAAUGAAAACACAUAAAACAUUCAUAUAGUUGCUGUGAACUUGGCUCUCAGAAGAGGAUGGCUAAAGGGUAUCUUCACAUACAUUGCAAGGCUUUCUUCUUCACACUCAAUA